rnacentral:rRNA from 1 species
GGCUCAGAGCGAACGCUGGCGGCGUGCCUAACACAUGCAAGUCGAGCGCAGGCAUUUCAGGGGUAACUCUGAAAUGUGCUGAGCGGCGGACGAGUGAGUAAUACGUGGACAACCUACCUUCAAGCCUGGGAUAACUCCGGGAAACUGGAGCUAAUACCGGAUAAGACCACGGCAUCCACGGAUGCUGAGGUAAAAGGCGGCUGGGCAACUAGCUGUCACUUAAAGAUGGGUUCGCGUCCCACCAGGUAGUUGGUGAGGUAACGGCUCACCAAGCCUAAGACGGGUAGCUGGCCUUAGCGGGUGGUCAGCCACACGGGGACUGAGAUACGGCCCCGACUCCUACGGGAGGCAGCAGUGGGGAAUAUUGGGCAAUGGGCGAAAGCCUGACCCAGCGACGCCGCGUGGGGGAUGAAGGCCUUCGGGUCGUAAACCCUUGUCAGGAGGGACGAUGGGUCUGUGAGCUAAUACCUCACAGUCUUGACGGUACCUCCAGAGGAAGCCCCGGCUAACUCCGUGCCAGCAGCCGCGGUAA